AGAUUGAACGCUGGCGGCAGGCCUAACACAUGCAAGUCGAGCGGUAGAGAGGUGCUUGCACCUCUUGAGAGCGGCGGACGGGUGAGUAAUGCCUAGGAAUCUGCCUAGUGGUGGGGGAUAACGUUCGGAAACGGACGCUAAUACCGCAUACGUCCUACGGGAGAAAGCGGGGGACCUUCGGGCCUCGCGCCAUUAGAUGAGCCUAGGUCGGAUUAGCUAGUUGGUGAGGUAAUGGCUCACCAAGGCGACGAUCCGUAACUGGUCUGAGAGGAUGAUCAGUCACACUGGAACUGAGACACGGUCCAGACUCUGCGGGAGCAGCAGUGGGAAUAUUGGACAAU
rnacentral:rRNA from 1 species